rnacentral:rRNA from 1 species
UACGUAGGGUGCGAGCGUUGUCCGGAAUUACUGGGCGUAAAGAGCUUGUAGGCGGCUUGUCUCUUCUAUCUUUCCCCCUUUUUUCUCCCCCCCAAGCUUGCGGUCGAUACGGGCAGGCUUGAGUACUUCAGGGGAGACUGGAAUUCCUGGUGUAGCGGUGAAAUGCGCAGAUAUCAGGAGGAACACCGGUGGCGAAGGCGGGUCUCUGGGAAGUAACUGACGCUGAGAAG